ensembl:lncRNA
UGAUGAGUCUGGCUAAUGGUUUGUCAAUUUUAUUUAUCCUUUCAAAGAACCAGCUUUUGGCUUUGUUGAUUUUUGCUAUGGUCUCUUUUGUUUCUUUUGCAUUUAUUUCUGCCCUAAUUUUUAAGAUUUCUUUCCUUCUACUAACUCUGGGGUUCUCCAACUCUUCCUUUUCUAGUUGCUUUAGUUGUAGAGUUAGGUUAUUUAUUUGACUUUUUUCUUGUUUCUUGAGGUAUGCCUGUAUUGCUAUGAACUUUCCUCUUAGCACUGCUUUUAUAGUGUCCCACAGGUUUUGGGUUGUUGUGUUUUCAUUUUCAUUAGUUUCUAUGCAUAUUUUGAUUUCUUUUUUGAUUUCUUCUGUGAUUGGUUGGUUAUUCAGAAGUGUGUUGUUCAACCUCCAUAUGUUGGAAUUUUUAAUAGUUUUUCUCCUGUAAUUGAGAUCUAAUCUUAAUGCAUUAUGGUCAGAAAAGAUGCUUGGAAUGAUUUCGAUUUUUUUGAACUUAUCAAGUUUAGAUUUAUGGCCCAGGAUGUGAUCUAUCCUGGAGAAGGUUCCAUGAGCACUUGAAAAAAAGGUGAAAUUCGUUGUUUUGGGGUGAAAUGUCCUAUAGAUAUCAAUUAGGUCUAACUGAUCUAAUGUAUCAUUUAAAGUUUGUGUUUCUUUAUUAAUUUUCUGUUUAGUUGAUCUGUCCAUAGGUGUGAGUGGGGUAUUAAAGUCUCCCACUAUUAUUGUGUUAUUUUUGAUUUCCCCUUUCAUACUUGUUAGCAUUUGUCUUACAUAUUGUGGUGCUCCUAUAUUGGGUGCAUAUAUAUUUAUAAUUGUUAUAUCUUCUUCUUGGAUUGUUCCUUUGAUCAUUAUGUAGUGGCCUUCUUUGUCUCUUUUCACAGCCUUUGUUUUAUAGUCUAUUUUAUCGGACAUGAGUAUUGCCACUCCUGCUUUCUUUUGGUCUCUAUUCGCGUGGUAUAUCUUUUUCCAGCCCUUCACUUUCAGUCUGUAUGUGUCCCUUGUUUUGAGGUGGGUCUCUUGUAAGCAGCAUAUAGAGGGGUCUUGUUUUUGUAUCCAUUCAGCCAGUCUUUGUCUUUUGGUUGGGGCGUUCAACCCAUUUACGUUUAAGGUAAUUAUUGAUAAGUAUGAUCCUGUUGCCAUUUACUUUAUUGUUUUGGGUUCGGGUUUAUACACCCUUUUCGUGUUUCCUGUCUAGAGGAUAUCCUUUAGAAUUUGUUG